rnacentral:tmRNA from 1 species
GGCUUCAAAGUUUAACUCGUCAUCUCUAUAUUAGAACCGUUCGGGCUUGCCCGGACUAUGGCGAUAAACGGCUGCGUAAUAAGCGGACUGGACCCGGGGGCGGUACCCGGCGCCUCCACCAAAUGCUCUCCCAUUCACGGAGAGUAUCUGUGGGGGCGAAACAGGAUCGACAGACGUGUAAAGGCUGACCUUUCGCCCGGUAUGGUAUCCGCCGUUAUCGGGCUAAUCGUAACAGGUGCCAACGAUAAUGAAAUGGCCCUCGCUGCCUAAUAGGUAAGCGCGGUUGGAGGGGUACCGGGCAACAGAAACCCCUCGCU